rnacentral:rRNA from 1 species
UGGCGGACGGGUGAGUAACGCGUGGGUAACCUGCCCUGUACAGGGGGAUAACAGUUGGAAACGGCUGCUAAUACCGCAUAAGCGCACGAGAGGACAUCCUCUUGUGUGAAAAACUCCGGUGGUACAGGAUGGGCCCGCGUCUGAUUAGCUGGUUGGCAGGGUAACGGCCUACCAAGGCGACGAUCAGUAGCCGGUCUGAGAGGAUGAACGGCCAUAUUGGAACUGAGACACGGUCCAA